AUGUCGUCAUACCUUGAGGGACAUAAGGAUAGUCAGUAGCCCAAUGUCCUUCUUGGUAUCAC
rnacentral:pre_miRNA from 1 species